rnacentral:rRNA from 1 species
GCUUACGGCCACACCGCCCUGGUUCACGCCCGAUUCGUUUGAUCUCGGAAGCUAAGAUAGGUUGGGCCUGGUUAGUACUUGGAUGGGAGAACCGCCUGGGAUUACCAGGUGCUGUAAGUU